rnacentral:tRNA from 1 species
GCGGGGGUGGCAGAGCCUGGUCAAUUGAAAGCAUUUUUGCUUUCAGACUUCAUGCGCUAGCUUGAGGUGCUAGUCCCUAAGUGGGUGCGAGGGUUCGAAUCCCUUCCCCCGCA